CGUUAAUUUUGUUUUAUUUCCAACAAUUUUGGCGGUUUAAGCGAAACCGAAGACGUUACCGCUAGAGAUUGAAAACUGGCCCAUUGCGGGCACAUGCGAUUCUGGUACGCAAUUGCAGAAAUAGUCUUCUAUAACUCGGGCAGCAGGGAUCAAGUUCUGGCACGAGCGGCCUUCCCUAUCAUGGAGAUGGGGACUACUGCAUUGUGGACCGAAACGUCUGUGAACUCUGGCCCACAUU